CAAAGUAGGCAAAAACGAGAGAGGGCACAGAGAGAGAAAAUGAGAAGAAAGAGGAAGGAAAAAGAAGAAGAAAGAAAAGAAGGGAAAAUUUGGGUUCAAGUUCUUCAAUUUAUUCAAGAGUUAGUUGGGGUGCAGCAAUCACCCAAUGGCCCAUGUAAGCAAUCUCCCUUGCAAUACCGGUGAAAUCCACAUGGUGUUCAAGGACAAGUCAAUAGAAUGGCGAGAAGCAUGGUGUUCGAGAACAAGUCAAUAGAAUGACAAGACAUGUGCAAAUCGUAUGUCACUCAAUGGGUAUUGAAACCAUAUUAAGAAUUUGGAUUUCAUAUUAAAACAUCGACCUUUUCAAGAGAGGUAGUCCAAGCAUUUAUAUGUUGUUUGUUUCA